CUCGGCACUUGCCGCGAGGUCUCGGGCUGCGUGUGGCCUUGCUCUGGGGGCCCCUCCUGAACUGGCCUCCCUGCGUCCACGUCAGGCACGGUGUGUGCCACGGGGUGCAGCACGGGGAAAGCUGCGGCGCGGCCUGUUUGCAGCCAGGUCGCAGUCACAGCUGGGUCACCGUCUGCACAUCGCCGGCCGUUGCCUGCCUCACUCACCAGCAGCUCACACAGCAAUAGCUCCUGACGUUGCCACUCUGCUGCUGCAUCUGCACUCCUCUGUGUCACGUCUACAUGCCACGCUGCACGUCUCAGGUUUCCCAGCUGAACACAGGACCCAACCACCACCUUGCAAACACCUCUUACCUGCAUCCGGUUGCCAUGGGAACUCAAGGAGAGCCAAGGCUGAAGCCACCUGAGACACCUGAGUCUAGGGCGGGCUUGUAGCCCUCAGAGCAGCCUGUGCAGAUCUCAGUCUCACGGCCACCGGUCAGGGAGGGUGUGCAAGAAGACCUCUCUACGCACAGACGCCACCAGGCCACCAUGGCAUGCACUAUAAAGCAUGUGAGGGUCUCACUAUGUAGUUCAGGCUGGACUUGAACUCAGUAUGGAGCCCAGGCUUGCCUCGAACUCAUGGCAAUCCUCCUGCCUCAGCCUCCCGAGUGCCAAGAUUACAGAUGUGUGCCAUCACACCCAGUGUGAUAUUUAUUUUAAUAAAUAAACCAUUUAUUGUUAAUGUAUUUUCUGUAAUCUCUUUCUUUAGAGAUACAGGGGACAACAGAUCUUUUAAAAAUUUAAUUUUGAGCCAGG
rnacentral:lncRNA from 1 species